AACCUCUCCAGUGGCCUAGUGGUUAGAUCGUCUGCCUUGGAUGCAGGAGGUCGUGGGUUUGAUCCUUAGUUGAGUCA